rnacentral:rRNA from 1 species
UACGUAGGGAGCGAGCGUUAUCCGGAAUUAUUGGGCGUAAAGGGUGCGUAGGCGGUUUGAUAAGUUAGAGGUGAAAUACCGGUGCUCAACACCGGAACUGCCUCUAAUACUGUUGAACUAGAGAGUAGUUGCGGUAGGCGGAAUGUAUGGUGUAGCGGUGAAAUGCUUAGAGAUCAUACAGAACACCGAUUGCGAAGGCAGCUUACCAAACUAUAUCUGACGUUGAGGCACGAAAGCGUGGGUAGCAAACAGG